UAAUACGACUCACUAUAGGCCAACUGAUAGCAAAGCUCACAAUACAAAGAAGUUAACCUCACAGCUGGUUUUCUACCCACCCUCACACAUGGGAAGGGCUUAACAAGAGAACAUGCCCCGAACAAAAACAACACCUCGGCAUAAGAAACUUCAACAAAACCAAACCCCCUCCGAGAUAACUCACCAAAACAACCGACUAGCGCUCCAAGCCCGCGUAUUCUCCCUAUAG
rnacentral:sRNA from 1 species